CCUACGGGAGGCAGCAGUGGGGAAUAUUGCACAAUGGGGGAAACCCUGAUGCAGCGACGCCGCGUGAGUGAAGAAGGAAUUCGGUAUGUAAAGCUCUAUCAGCAGGGAAGAAAAUGACGGUACCUGAGGAAGAAGCCCCGGCGAACGACGGGCCAGCAGCCGCGGUAAGACGUAGGGGGCAAGCGUUAUCCGGAUUUACGGGGUGUAAAGGGAGCGUAGACGGCAGUGCAAGUCUGGAGUGAAAGGCGGGGGCUCAACCCCCGUACUGCUCUGGAAACUGGACGGCUGGAGUGCAGGAGAGGUAAGUGGAAUUCCUAGUGUAGCGGUGAAAUGCGUAGAUAUUAGGAGGAACACCAGUGGCGCAGGCGGCUUCCUGGACUGUAACUGACGUUGCGGCUCGAACGCGUGGGGAGCAAACAGGAUUAGAUACCCUAGUAGUC
rnacentral:rRNA from 1 species